AGGCUUUUAUUCACCCACCCACCAUUUUUUCAUUCAUUCACGACUCUGUACACACACCAACCCACACAAUCACACACACUCAUACGAACACAGACACACACACGAACAGGGCGUCGCUGCCCUUCUACCCCGGCUAAGAUGGCCGCCGCCAGCCACAUCGGCACACCACCUUGGAUUUUUCUAAUAUUCACAAUUUUUUUCUUUGGCGAUUGUAUCUCUCCGGAGAGGAAGAGUUUCUCCGAUUAAGGCUGCAUUUGGUGUAUGGAAGAGUCUGAUUCCAUGAGCAAGACAAGAUGACUGGUUUAGUGAAAGGUUUUAAGGUGGGAUGGGUGUUCGUCUGAAAAAGGGAUAUACAAACAGAAUUUGUGGCUUCAGAAUGAGUUGAACAACUAUUCAUAGUGUUGAAGUAGAUAUUCAAUUACUUUUGCUCACUUAUUCAUAACUGAAUAAUAGUUAUUCGGAACUUAUUGUAUGAUAUUCAUUAUUGAAUAAUAUUUGAAGUAGAUAUUCGAUUA